AACGCACCUUGCGCCCCUUGGUAUUCCGAGGGGCACACCCGUUUGAGUGUCGUGGAAUUCUCAACUCAAAUGCUUUUGCGAGCAUUUGGGCUUGGACUUGGGGGUCUGCCGGCCUGUCUCGGCUCCCCUUGAAUGCAUUAGCUCGAGGUUGGCUUCGGGCGGUCCGUGGCGUGAUAGGUUUUUGUUACGUCUCGAUAAUUCCGUCUCGGAGCCGUGUGGCUUCGGCUUCGAAUCGUCCCUCUUGGGGGACUGACUCCAUCUUGAAUCUGACCUCAAAUCAGGCAGGACUACCCGCUGAACUUAA
rnacentral:rRNA from 1 species